rnacentral:rRNA from 1 species
UACGGAGGGAGCUAGCGUUGUUCGGAAUUACUGGGCGUAAAGCGUAUGUAGGCGGCUUUGUAAGUCAGGUGUGAAAUCCCAGAGCUUAACUUUGGAACUGCAUUUGAGACUGCAAGGCUUGAGUAUCGGAGAGGUUGACAGAGUUCCUAGUGUAGAGGUGAAAUUCGCAGAUAUUAGGAGGAAUACCGAUGGCGCAAGCAGUCAACUGGACGAUUACUGACGCUGAGAUACGAAAGCGUGGGGAGCAAACAGG